GACGAACGCUGGCGGCGUGCUUAACACAUUCAAGUCGAACGAUGAAGAAAAGAAUCGAAGCUUCGGCAGAAAUUCAUUUCGGAUUAGUGGCAGACGGGUGAGUAACGCGUGAGCAACCUACCUCUUACAAAGGGAUAGCCUCGGGAAACCGGGAUUACUACCAUAUAACAUUGCGACGAAGCAUUUCGAUGCAAUCAAAGCUACGGCGGUAAGAGAUGGGCUCGCGUCCCAUUAACCGGAUGGUGAGGUAACGGCUCACCAUAGUGACGAUGGGUAACCGGCCUGGGAGGGUGAACGGUCACACUGGAACUGAGACACGGUCCAGACUCCUACGAGAGGCAGCAGUGGGGAAUAUUGCACAAAGGAGGGAACUCUGAAGCAGCGACGCCGCGUGAGUGAUGAAGGAAUUCGUUACGUAAAACUCUGUUCUAUGGGAAGAAAGGGAGUGUACCAUAGUAGAAAGCUCCGGAUAAAUACGUG
rnacentral:rRNA from 1 species